rnacentral:rRNA from 1 species
AAUCUAUCGUGCCCACACCGCGAAAAUACUUAUGCCCUUCUGGGGUCAGCAAGCUUUACUGCUUGCUCUUCAGUUGCGCAGGUCAGGGGCUGGCUCCUUUUGGUGUCAGUUGACUUGACUGGGCGGGUCCAACACCAGCCGGAUUCACCUUGUCUCUGGCAAGGGGUUCUGCCGACUGUGAGGGGUGGCUGUUUAACUCACUUUAAGCAAUUAAUUCUGAAGACAGACCUACUGGCUGGUAUUGCUGGCUGUAGGCUGAAAAACUAUAGAC